rnacentral:tRNA from 1 species
GCGGGUAGAGUCAGCUGGUACGAUGCCACCUUCCCAAGGUGGAGGAACGGGUUCGAUUCCCGUUACCCGCUCCA